CCCCUCUCAGUGUCACACCUGGAGAGUUUCCAGUACUCUACCAGUCUCGGCUACAGGGGGGAGACUCAAGCAGAGGCCUACCCAUUCCAUUCCUAGCUUGAGCAGUGGCUAGCGAGUGGAAGGCCAUCUGCGACAGGU